rnacentral:lncRNA from 1 species
GGAUUCUGUCUGGUGUAAGAUUAAAUCAUUAAAAAAUGGGAUAGGGAAGAAAGAUCCAUGAAAAUAAUCUAAUAAAUUAACCCCCUCCCCAAAAAAAAAAACAACAAAAACAAAAGAAAAAUUAAACUUCACAAGGAAAAAAAAUAGAACUAAAGAUACCCAGAUGGGAAAUUGGAUUAAUCAGGUGAAAAGAAGAACUGGGUUGCAGAGAUCUUGGGAUUUAAAACAGAGAAAAAAGCAUAAAAACAAUAUUUUCUCGAGAAAAUUUUGGGAUGUAAACAAGAAAACUGGGAAUGGAAUGAAACGAAAAGAAAAUGAGAAAAAGGAUAAGAGAUUUGAAUUAAGGGAAGGGUGAGAGGGAAAAUCUUUUUACAAAAGAUUGAUCAUUCGACAUCAAUUUGUUUUCUCCCUCUAGAGGAAUUCUAGAGAAAGAGAAACGAAA